AAUGAACGUUGGCGGCGUGGAUUAGGCAUGCAAGUCGUACGCACAGCUUCGGCUGUGAGUGGCGCAAGGGUGAGUAAUGCGAAGGUAACCAACCCUGGAGUUGGGCAUAACCGCGGGAAACUGCGGGUAAUUCCCAGCGAUGUCGCGAGAUGGCAUCAUCUUGCGACCAAAGGUGUGAUUCCGCUCUAGGACGGGCCUUCGUGGUAUUAGGUAGUUGGUGAGGUAACGGCUCACCAAGCCGACGAUGCCUACCGGGUGUGAGAGCAUGACCCGGCACACUGGAACUGAGACACUGUCCAGACACCUACGGGUGGCUGCAGUCGAGAAUCUUCGGC
rnacentral:rRNA from 1 species